CUGCCUCCUGGCUGCUCACUUAAUACAGACACUUUACACGAGUGUAACGUUUUAUAGGUUAAAAUCUCUUUUGCACACGUUAUCUUGGUUGGUCUGCGCAGAACUUCUGUGAGGUGUUUUUUUAAUCCUGUUUUACGAUUGGGCAAGGUCUCAGAGAAGAUGAGCAACUUCCCCAAAGGCACCCAAUUCAUAGUCACGUUGGAAACCCCCAAAGCUUACAUUUCAGCCAUAAUUAAAUGUGCAUUUGCUAGCAUCUGUAAUUUAACUUUAUCAAGUCCAGGAAUUUCCAUUCAGCAGCAGCUGGGACUCUCUGGCACUCCCUUGCCAUCAGAGCAUCUGGCCCUUUUGACUGAAUGCUCUUAAUAGUGGUGAAUAUUUAUUGAGCAUCUACUCUGGAGCAGCCCGUGCUGAGUGUUUCUGUUCAUCGCCCCGCUCUAGCCUCAACAAUCGCCUGUUCAUUGGGGGAUCCUGACUCCAUCUCCAGCCCAGGCCUCCCUCAUUCCCAUCCAGAUACCACACAGCUGCUUAUAAGUGGGAUCGUUACUCAGAUCUAGGAAUCCAGCAUGAGAAUAUUCAAACACCUGUCUUUUCCCCACACUCUUCAACUGAGUCUGCAAGCUCCGUGGAGAGCAGAGGCAGCACAUUUUCAUCUUCAAAUCCUCUUCAGUCCAUAGUUUCGCGUUUUGUACACAAUAGUUGCUCAACGUUUAUUGGCUUCAGUGUACAUUUUAUCAGUAGCGUGUCUAAAUCAAGCCAAUAAGGAAGAAGUGGAAAUUGAUGACUUUGGCCACUAGAUGUCAUACCACACUUAACGGUCAACAAAAAAUUCUGUUAUUCGAAAUUUCACUUCGAUUUUAGCAUGAAAGUAAAUCUUGUGUUACAGUGGUCUCUAAUCUCAACCGUUUAAAACAAAGUAUCGACCAGACUUUUCUUGGUCUUCAGCCCUUCCAUGGAUUCCCGCUGCUUCUAGAGGAUCAAUGUGCUGCACCGUGGCCUCUGACACCAUGCCGCCCCUUGCUGCUCUAGCCUCACCUGCCGGGUCUGUCCCAACUGCCCUCUCCACCUCUCUACCCAGGGAGUCUCUAAGCUUCCUUCAGAUCUCAGUUCAAGAGCCGCCCCACCUGAUGGAAGGUUUCCAUGAUUGCUCCCUGUAUUAGUUUCCUGUGGCUGCUGUAACAUAUUACCCCAAAGUAGUGGCUUAAAGCAACACACAUUUUUUUCUCUUACAGUUCUCUCCAGAGUCCAAAAUUGGCCUCACCGGGCUAAAAUCAAGGUGCCGGCAGGGCGGCAUUCCUUUUGGAGGCUCUGGGAGAGAGUCUGUUUUCUUAACUUUUCCAGCUUCUAAAGGUGGCCUGCAUUCCUUGGCUUGUGGCACCUCCGGUCUUCAAGGCCAGCAAUCACAUCCCUCAGAACUCUGACCUCUGCUUCUGUGGCCACAUCAUCCCCAACUCUCCUGACCUUUCCCCAUCUAAGGCCCUUGUGAUCACAUCGGGCCUACCCAGAUAACCCAGGAUCGUCUUCUUGUCUUAAGGCUCUCGAGUGUUGACAUGUAGACAGGCUCUAGAAGUGUCGAUUGCAUUAAAGAAUCUCCAGAAUAACAGUUGGGAGCAUCCAGCAAUUGAAGAGUUACAGAGGUUAAGCCCAGCUCCACGCACAGGGCUCUGGAUCCCGGAGAACUGAGUGAUGGCAUGUCGCAGAACACUGAGAGGCAUUUGCUGUCCUUUGAAGAGUGUGAGUCACCGUCUGGCCUCAGAACACCCACACACUCUCAGCUAAUGUGUCCAUCCCUAAGGUUAGAGCUGCAGACGCUGUCCACAGCUAAGCCCAGGCUCUCAGAGCCUUACCGGGAAAUGCACAGGGUAUCCUUCAUUUUAGACUAAAGAAAGCACUUUCCCAUUGUGGGAGCUGAGGAGGGCUGCAGCUGAGGUGGCUUUUGGCCCAAAGCAUGUGAACACACCCUUUCUCUCUGGCCUGGACUUUCCCCAGCUGGUACAGUGUUUUCCACCCUGAACUGGUAGAUCAAAGCCCACACAGGUCAUCCUUUCGCUGUGAAGUGCAGUGCGCACCCACUAUUCGCCAGCCCUUUGCUUCAUUGUGUAGCUUGAGCUGCUGCAGGAUGCUACUGACAAUGUCCGUGGAGAAGACUGGACUAAUUUCACAUGCCACUUAGUGGAUGUUAAAUAAUUCUCUCAUUGCACAUAGCAAAAACAUAAAAACUUUUGCGACUUUUUUCUUUACCAGAGCAAUAUAUAUUUAACAUAAAAACUUUAGAAAUAACCUCUAACACUAAUACGCAGAAGUAACCAGUAUUAGCAUUUUCCCCCAGCUUUGUUGAGGUAUAAUUGACCAAUAAAAAUUGUAUAUAUUUAAGGCAUACAAUACUAUGUUUUGAAAGGCAUAUACGUUGUGAAAUGAUUGAUUACCACAGUCAAGCUAUUUAACGUAUCUACAACCUCACAAUGUUUGAGGGUUUUUUUUGUGGUGAGAACAUUUCAGAUCAACUCUCUUAGCAAAUUUCAGGUAUACGAUAUAGUAGUGUUAGCAAUAGUCACCAUGAUCUCCACAGCUUAUUCAUCCUGCAUGACUGAGACUGUACCCCUGGACCAUCUCCCCGUUUGUCCCACCCCCCCCGCCACCCCCACCACUUCCCCAGUCCCUGGCAACCACAGUUCUACUCUCUGCUUUUAUUAAUUCAACUUUUUGAGAUCC
rnacentral:lncRNA from 1 species